ACAGAGGGUGCGAGCGUUGUCCGGAAUCACUGGGCGUAAAGGGCGCGUAGGUGGCGCUCCAAGUCUGUGGUGAAAGCUCGAUGCUCAACAUCGAGUCGGCCAUAGAGACUGGAGGGCUCGAGCACUGUAGGGGCAGAUGGAAUUCCGGGUGUAGCGGUGGAAUGCGUAGAGAUCCGGAAGAACACCGGUGGCGAAGGCGGUCUGCUGGGCAGUUGCUGACACUGAGGCGCGACAGCGUGGGGAGCAAACAGGA
rnacentral:rRNA from 1 species